rnacentral:rRNA from 1 species
GGAUUUAGGUACGUGAAUUGGUUUGUGCGAGGUUUGUUUGAAAAAAGAUAGGAGUUUUUUUUUUUGAUUGAAAAAAGAGUCCACCUUGUUUGCCAAUUUGUGGGUCGGGGGAUUUUUUUUGUGGGUCGGAGGUACGCCGAGCUGAGAUGAAGGGGUAGAAGGCAGCCGGGCUCGGUAGGACAGGAGGGAAGGACGGGGAUCGGCUUGAGGAGGCGAAAGGGGGUUUAGGCCGCUCUUAGAGCCGUGCGGUACUGGAGGAGAAUGGCCGGCCGGCGGUGCUGCUCGGGCCUCCGCUGCCGCCGUCAUGGGUUCCACCUCCGGCUUCGCCGCCGCUGCCGCCGGGCUUUGGGAUCGAGGGGGUCGCCGGGCGGCAGCGGCCUCUACCUCCGGUGCCGCCUCCGCGAGUGCGCCCUCCUCCACGAUGCGGCCUCCGCGGCUGCGUGCCGCGCCGAGCAACCGCACAUGGCGGCCGACAUGACCCGCUACCGUCUCCUCCACGCGCGCGCCGUGGCCGUCAUGCAGACCCUCGAGCCGGCGUCAGGCGAGCUCCGGCUCGUCGGGGGCAGCCGGCGCACGAGCCUCCGCUUCGGACCCGGCCGCCGCCACGGCUCCUCCUUCUUCACACCCAAGUGCCCGACGUUCCACGCCCGCUACGGAUACCGGUUCAUGACGGUGAGGGUGUAGGAGAGGCUAGGGUUAGUCCGGGACAUGUUCCCUACGCCAGUUUAGUAGUUCUCACCACGUGUCUAACCCGUUUAAUGAACGUCGUCCGGGUAGGAUUUUCGAAGUCAAGGGAGGGAGACGUUACAAGUGAACGUUUCUAGAGUCUUCUUGUAUAGUGUCCGAAUAUUCUUUCAACCGAAAUUAGGUGGGGGAUGACCGGUCUAGAGGGGUCUAAAAUCACAGAAUCAACGGCUUACACAGGCAGUCUAGGUCCGGUCCUCCUCUCUUAGGGCUUCACAACGUCGUCCCUUCUUUACGGGGUUUCUACCCUUUCAACCGACUCGAUAUGAGACUCUAGAGUAAACAAUGUAUUUGACAUCCUUUUACAGUCCGUAGGACUCCAAAUGGCUCACAACUAUUGAUUGGGACGCCCAAUGACGUGAGAAGGAACUUUCUAUACCUUAUAACUAUUAUAUACACCGCACGUCGACACGUACUGACCUACUGUUGUACUAGGACUACCAACAGUCAAUUGUCGUUUAAAACAUACUUCUCAAAUAGGUUGCUCGAUCACCACCUCACAGUUCAUAGUUCCAACUCCCAAGCGUUUUACGUGUGUACAGUCCUCUCGUAAAUACAUAGUUUUACGAAGACUACUGAACGACUUGUACGACGUCCUGACGGUACCAAUUAAAAUAAGUAGAAGACUACCAUUAAAUAGGAUUUACUUCCGGACUCAAUCUAUAUGACCCAGCCAAGUAACGGUUGACGGCUAAAACUUCUUGUACCACUCAACACUUCGCACAAGUCCAAAGUGCAGGACUUAACCAAAAUUUGACUCACGGAGAAAACUUCAUUUAUUAUACGAAAAAAGUCGAACCAUUACAUAUGACACACUACCGACAGGACAAUAAGUCGAACCACAAAGAAAUCUAUACAAUAACCUUUUACAGGUGGAACACUUCAUAUGUGGUAAGGAUAAAAAGGUCUACUUUAGAAGUGGAACAAAUGCCGUGUAUGAAGAGGUCUUUCCUAACUCUAACAACGAAACACGGUUCCUACGAUACCUCUGUCACCAAAACACGGUUAGGACUUCCUCGGUAAGUUUAUAUUCCAUGAUACUCCUCUCUUACCGUACAUGUACAACUACAAAUACUGUACCUACUCCUCUCCCGUACAUGUACAACUACAAAUAAAAACGGACUAAAUCAACCUUACCAACGUAACAUGCUUUCUACCAGGUGUAUCUUCUGGGACGUUCGUCAUACUCUACAGCGACGUAACGACUAUAACUACGUUCCCUCCUCGGCAUGUAUGUUUCCUAUCAACGGACCAUGACGUUAGUUUAAAGCAUCAUAGAAGCAACGUACUUAUCAAUGAAUACUUCAUUACCUACAACACCAUGGUCGUUGUGUACUUACACGUACGAAUUCGAAUAUAGUUUACGAGACUCUAUCUCCUGUACUACACCUAUAGCCGUCUGUAACCUACCGGACCUUCAUGCUGCACUGAUUCCUGACCUUCAUACUGCACUGAUUCCUUGACUGCGUUAACAGGUACAUUUUUUACUCUUACCAUAAUGACCGGUACACUAAUCUCAUACUGUAACGUACACACGUACACACGUACACACCUACCCUUUUUCCUUCUAUAAUGUUUGACUAAAUACCUGAUUUGGUAAUCCCGGAAGGUAUAAGGUAAAAGUAACUUCAAGUAGCAAUCAAAACAUUCAGUUCGAGAUCAGUAGCCAUGGCUUCAAUUGAUACAACUAUAGUUCAACGAUACAUCGUUGAAAACAAUGGUUGCGUAUCGUUGAAGUACUCUUUUUCCACCGUUGAAACUUCCACUUUUUUCGACAGCUUUGUAUCGUUUGUACUCCAGGUCAUAACUUCUAGUUACAUUUAAGCUCGUUGAGUAAAGCAGCAAAGUCAUCGUGAAGGAAACAUUUUUUUA